AGCUCCAAUAGCGUAUAUUAAAGUUGCUGCAGUUAAAAAGCUCGUAGUUGCAUUUCCGAGGCAAGGGAUUAGUCCGACCUUUGGUGGGUAUUUAAUCCUCUUGCCUCGUCCUUGAGUGGUGCUUCUUGGUAUUAAGUUAUCGAGGAGAUAGCCGCUCAUCGUUUACUGUGAGAAAAUUAGAGUGUUCAAAGCAGUCUUAUGCCGUUGAAUAUAUUAGCAUGGAAUAAUAAGAUAGGACCUCGGUACUAUUUUGUUGGUUUGAGAACCAAGGUAAUGAUGAAUAGGGACAGUUGGGAGUAUUCGUAUUCAGUUGUCAGAGGUGAAAUUCUUAGAUUUACGGAAGACGAACUACUGCGAAAGCAUUUACCAAGGAUGUUUUCA
rnacentral:rRNA from 1 species